GUUUUCCCUUCCCCUCCCCACCUCUCGAGGUCUCAGUGCCUCCCUGUCGUUUUCUUCCUCUGCUCCCUCUCUCCAUUUAGACGUCUAGGUGAAGGAGACUUGGAGAAUUCUUGGACAAAGUCCCCUGAGGACAUGUUUCUCUUGGAAACUGGAUCUGACUCCCAUAAAGAAGCCCAUGCUAACCUGCUAAAGAAUAAGACCAUACGGAAGAAAGAUGAGUUGUUUAACUGGGGCCAUUCUGGACUAUCCAGCCUACAGCAAACCCGCCAGCUGACUGUAGAUGCGGGAGCAAACCCAGCCAAGAUCAGCCAAGAUCAGCCAAUCCCAGCAAAGACAAGAAGAACAUCCUAGGUGGCCAAUAAACUUUUGAUCAAAAUAAAUCCUUUAUGUUCUACACCACAGA
rnacentral:lncRNA from 10 species